rnacentral:rRNA from 1 species
UACAGAGGGUGCAAGCGUUAAUCGGAAUUACUGGGCGUAAAGCGUGCGUAGACGGUUACAUAAGUCGGGUGUGAAAGCCCCGGGCUCAACCUGGGAAUUGCAUUCGAGACUGCGUAGCUAGGGUGCGGAAGAGGGAAGCGGAAUUCCCGGUGUAGUGGUGAAAUGCGUAGAUAUCGGGAGGAACACCAGUGGCGAAGGCGGGCUUCCUGGCCUGUUCUUGAC